ensembl:lncRNA
GGGGUCCUUGUUGGCCAAAGACCCGGCCCAGGAGGCCCUCCCCGAAGGAGACAGCCCGCGGGACCUGUGGGGCCAAGUAGCCCCUGCCCCGGGAGCCUCUCCGGCUCUCCUCUCAGCCCCCCCAAAGCAGGUCCCGACCCUGGCUUGGGAGGCCAGAAGCAGGAAGGAGCCCGAGACGACGAGGAGGGGGUGUCCCUGGGCAGAGGGCCGCGCAGAGGCCGGCUUUGCCCCGCCUCCCGGAUAGGCUGGAGCCCCGACAUUCCCUCCCCUUGGGAAAGGCCCGCAGCAGGGUCCUCGCCUCCUCCGGCGCUCAAACGGCUGGCCACUAGGUGGAGGAAGACGACCGCGACACCGGCGGCAGCGGCUCUUUCUUCCGGGAGCGAAGUUCAACCAGCGAAUGUCUCUUAAGCAGCGGCCACGUGCCGGGACCGCAGGCAGGGACGGAAGGGAAACUCAUCCCUAGAAGAGAGGCAAACGCUGGCCAGAGUGGCGCACCCGGAGGACUAACGCAGUGUUUGCCAGCGGAUCAAGAGCACAGGGGUGAGACUGGUUUAGGGACCCGGCUCCAAAGGGCGGCCCCCGCCUCGUGUAGACCAGGGCUUCAGCAGGUGACCUCGGGCAAGGGGUGGGGGCCCAGCUGCAGAGAUGGAUCAGGGAACAGCUGAGCUGGGUUAAUGCUUUUGUCUGGCUUUUCUCUUGGGAGAAGGGAGAAUAGGCGAGACCUGUGAAUAUGAUCACCCUUUAUCCCUGCUAAGGUCCCAUGUUCCGUGGGGUGUUCUGGCCCAGGACUACACUUUGGGGAAAGAGAAUGUGGCAAGUGAAUAGAGUGGAUAGAACAUCAGGCUGAGAGUCAGGAAGACUCCUCUUCUAGUAUCAGGCAUUUCCUAGCUGUGUGACCCUGGGCAAGUCACUUAACCCUGUUUGUCUCAACUUCUCCAUCUAUAAAAUGAGUUGGAGAAGAAAUGGCAAAUCAUUCCAGUAUCAAGAAAACCCCAAAUGGGAUCACAAAGAGUCAGAUGAUUUAAAUGACUCAACACAAGUAACAACAGAAAAGCUAUACCAUAGACCAUCCAGAGGAAGGUAGCCAGGAAUAGUGAGGAAACUAGAAAAGAUAGAAAAGGCAGCUAGAUAGCUACGGGGAUAGAGAGCCAGCCAGGUAGCCAGUGGAUAGAGAUGGAAGGUCCUGGAUUAAAAUCUGGCCUCAGACUAGCUUUGUGACCCUGGACAAGUCACUUCACCCCCAUUGCCCAGCCCUUACCACUCUUCUGCCUUAGAACUGAUAUGCAAUAUUGAUUUGAACAUGGAGGUAAGGGUUAAAAAGAAAGCUAUGUGGAAUAAUUAAGAAUUUUUAGCCUAGGGACAACUAAUGGGCCACAUUCUAGCUGUCUUCAAGUGUUUGAAGGGUUGUCAUAUAUGGAAGAGGCAUCAGGUUUAUUCUGCUUGGUCUCAAAGAGCAGAUCUAGUUUCAAUGGAUAGAAGUUUGGUUUUUGCUUUGAAUACUGCUUAAUUAUUAUUUUAAAAAUUAAUAAACACCCAUUUUCUCUCCCUCUUACCUUUCCC